UCAAUGGCCUAACGGCUGAACCAGCAACUUGGAAGAAUGUAUAGCAAUAGCUAAUUGUAAACAAUGGUUUUUACAAUAUCGACUAUGUCGAAUAAAAUUCUAGGUAGAUAGAUGAUAAUGACACUAUCUAUUUAUGGUCUUGACUAAAUUACGUGCCAGCAGUCGCGGUAAUACGUAAUAGACCAGUGUUAUUCAUCUUUAAUAGGUUUAAAGCGUACUUAGACGGUAAUUAUUGCUUGAAUAAGGUACAUUAUUACUAGAGUUAUAUGUGAGAGUGCUUGAAAGUACUGUUGAGUGGAGAGAUGAUAUUCUUUUAUACCAGACGAUUGGCACAGAUAUUGGCGAAAGCAUCACUUUAUGUAAUAACUGACGUUGACAGACGAAGGCUAUGUAUCGCAAAAAGGAUUAGGUACCCUCGUAGUCUUAGCAGAAAAUUAUGAAUGUCAUAAAUUAGAUAUUAUUUAGUUUAUAAAUGAAAGUGUAAGCAUUCCACCUCAAGAGUAAUUUGGCAACAUUGAAACUGAAAUCAUUAGACCGUUUCUGAAACCAGUAGUGAAGUAUGUUGUUUAAUUUGAUAACCCGCAAAAAACCUUACCACAACUUGAAUAUUAAUAAUAUAUUUUUACAAGCGUUGCACGGCUGUCUUCAGUUAAUGUCGUGAGAUUAUGGUUAACUCCAUAUUAAUUAACCUAAACCCUUAUUUUAUUUUUAGAUAAAGUUUUCUAACAAAAAUUCCAUUUAUUUUUUGUUAUGAUAAAAGGGACUAAGACAAGUCAUCAUGGCCGUAAUGUUGUGG
rnacentral:rRNA from 1 species